rnacentral:lncRNA from 1 species
AAAAAUGCAUAAAAAGGAUCUGUAAAGUUUCAUAGCAUAUCGAAGUCGUUUAAAUUUAUUUUGAUUUUUCAACUGAAACGUGCAAAAUUGAAAUUUUGUUCCGCGUAAGCGUAUACUCACAAGUCAAAUUUAGUUCCCUAAUUUUGUAGGCAUGACUAGAACAUGACAAGAACCUUCACAAUGAAAUUUUGUAAUUUUUAAACGAG